GUUUCUGUAGUUGAAUACAACGGUGGUUUUUCAGAUCAUAGGUCUUGGUUGGAGUCCGGGCAGAAAUU
rnacentral:tRNA from 1 species